CGUAGCGGUGGAAGCAACUAAACAGGAUUCUCUUAGUAACUGCGAGUGAACAGAGAUUAGCCCAACAUCGAAGCCACCAUGCAUUUGUAUGGGAGGCAAUGUGAUGUUUUGGUGUUUGAACGCACUGUCUGGCUAACUUGAAGUCCAUAUUUGACUGUGGCUUGUAUUUAUACACCCAGAGAUGGUGAUAGGCCCGUUCAGGUUGGUAUUCUGGCAUGACAGUUCAGUGUGUAAUCAUUCAUCAUAGAGUCGGAUUGCUUGAGAGUGCAGUCCAAAAUGGGUGGUAAACUCCAUCUAAGGCUAAAUACCUGUACGAGUCCGAUAGUCAACAAGUACCGUGAGGGAAAGUUGAAAAGUACUCUGAAGAGAGAGUAAAUAGUACGUGAAACCACAUGGAGGUUAAACAAAUAGAGUCAAGCUGCUUGCAUCAUAUCAUUGCAAUAUGCGCAUUUUGUUGCAUGACAUUUGCCGGGACCUGGCGUGUGAUUCUGUCUACUUGUAGGCAUUUGAACAUGUGUUUGUUGUUUGAAAGGUCUCGGUGAGUGUCUGCGCUUAUUGUUCAUGAUGGGUGCUAAUGCCAUAGUCGGUUGUACUACCAGUGCGCAGUAAUCGGCGAUUGUGCGGGCUGACUUAUUGUCGUUCGUGCAAUCAGUGAAACAGUUGGCAACAGUGUGUGCUUGCAUUCCCUUUUGUCAAAGAAAGCCACGGCCUGUUGAUUACUGUGAACAUUGUGAGAGUCGACCGUUCAUAUGUGCUCAUAUAAUUUGUGGGAGUAAGUCGACUUGUCGACUACUUCCAUAAAUGAGCUUUUGAGCCAUGGUAUGGUGGGAAACUUUUA
rnacentral:rRNA from 1 species